UCAUAUAUUGAAUUUAAAUUUUGUAUUAGUUGACGUAUUUUUCCGCACAUGUAAAUUGUUUAUGUAUUGAUCGAGAACAUUGACCCAUGUUGAUGUAGGAAUUGACCAAUUUCAUGUUACCGGUUAACGAAAACUCUUAUUCCGUAACGUUUGACUAACGGAAAUCAUGUCAAUGUAUGUUAAAACUCAAUUUUGUAAGUUCAUGUAUGGAAAAUUGAAUUUUAUACUAGUUGAGGUAUGUUUUCGCACAGGUAACGUGUUUAUGUACUGAUCGGGACCGUUAGCCUCUGUUGACGCAUGAAUCGGCCGGUUUCCCGAUAUAUAGAUAGAUAAAGAAGAUGAAGAAAAAAGAUGAACAGACAGACAAACGUAGUUGUAAAGUAGUUCGUUAGCAAUGACAUGGCAAAUCCGAGUUGAUGACAUGGCAGAUGACAUGGAAAAUCGGUUAAUCAGCCGACAAACAAAUAUAUAACUCAGCCUCCGUAAAUCAGCUCUCAUUUACAAUGUAAGUCAGCCGAGCCAUGGAAAUAUUUCAGUAAUUAAUCUUUUGAUCCUUAAUCAGCCGUAAUUAGGAUGAAAAACGAUAAAUCAGCCGUAUCGUCACAUAGAUCAGCCGUCAAACGAAUGAUAUUCUAGUAAUUAAUCUUUCGCUAAUAAGUCAGUCGUAACCGAGCUUAGUUUACUGUUAAUCCAUCCUAUUACGGCCGACUAAUCAUAAACUCAGCCGUAACAACAUCACAUUAGUCAGCCGUAAAUUAUAUAACUCAGCCAGUCGAUAUUCAUUAACUCAGCCGGGGAAACAUAACUCAGUCGUCUCUUAGUUACAACUCAGCCAAAUUUUCCAGAUUAAAACCGCCGAUGUAUAAGUCAGCCGUAACCUUUGUCUGUAAGUCAGCCUUUAUCUCAUAAAUCAGCCACAUUUUUGUAAUUCAGCCGUACCGUCCGGCUGACUUAUGUUCUUAAGUCAGUCUUUUCCUCUUAACUCAGCCGCGUUUGUUUAUUCAGCCGACAUGUAGAUAUAAAUCAGCCGUAACGACGUAUGUAGCGAAUUACAGCUAGCUUAAUGAAAACACGGAACAUAAUUCCUACGUGGCGCCGGUUUUUUGCUUAUGUGGCAGCGAAAAAUAAUGGCAUUCUUGUAAAUAUGUUUUUUCUCAUAACGUAAAAAAAGGGUACGCUUGGUAUUUAAAAAAUGUCAGUAAUAAAAAAGAGAUAUGUGUGGUUCUUGUCAAUUGUCCUAAAGUAUAUUUAAGUAAACUUCCCUUCCGUAAAUGUGUUAUUCCAGCGGUUUGUGUGAGUGUCAUAAACACAAAAAUGUGUACUAUAUGGUAAUCUGACGCUAGAAACGCUUUUUCACAUAAGCAAGGUGAAACCAGUCGAAACAUCCCAUUAACAUUUUAUUUACAAAACUACAGUGGUUAUCAUUAUUAGUGAUUAUGACUUCAUGAGUCUAUGAAAAAUCCAGCGUCUCUCUAUCUAUUAUACCAAUACAUAGUCUUUUGUGUUAUUUAGAACACCUUAGAGCAUCAUUAACGCGGUCUUCUCAAACCGUCUCUUAGUUUUAUUUGCAUUAAAAAAAAAGAGAAAUUAGAUUAAAUGCUAAAGACGUUUCUUAUUUAGGGGUUACAAGACACGGUCUUCUGAGACACGUGUUGCCCUUUGGGCGUUCAUCUCUUUGAGAAGAGAGAGAGAGAGAGUUGAAGGAUCGAUGGCGGAAGGCGUGCGAUGAUCCCCAGCGACUGAAGAAGAUUGCGGCUGAUAGUCGCUGUUAAUCCGUCGUGUUCUGGAGGUCGCUUCUUAAGACUAACCUUCAGCCACCACCUGCUCCUUCUCUUCGUCUGUCUAUUCUCGUUACUGGCGCGGACGAAUCAAUGUCGGAACCGUCGUGAAUUCAGCUCGCAGACGCCACGACGUCGGGGGAUUAUUAGUUUCUGGCUGUCUCUCUUCGCCGGAUUCUUCAUCUCCACCGUCUUCUAUCUCUGGUCCGAAGACGAAACUGUAUGUGAGUGGGAUCUUUUAAGGGAGGAAGACCAGUGGUUAUAUGAAUGAUAUUCAAGAGUUUGAGCCUGUGGUAAGGCCGCCAACUAUGGAAUCAAACUAUCCUUUCCUGGAGAUUGAAGAGGUUGUGGCUGGUGGUGAUGGAAUCAAACUAUACUCAUAGCAACUGUGUAUGUGCCUACAGCUAAAGGACCUUUCCUUGAGGAUCUUUCUCGCUCUGUGGUGCCUCCAAAGAAGCCAAGCAUAGCUGAGGAGCCUGCAACAUCUCUGUCUCCGUUUUCUACGGCUCGUGCAUCUCACAACACCGAUAACUCUUCUUCUCUUACCAUUCUUCUCAUGUUCAGAAAAUAAUCAAAAACUUUUUAUAUAUUUUUAUCACAAAUUCAUACAUUUUGAUCACAAA